UACGGAGCACUGGCCGCGACCUGGCCAAGAAAUGAGCAAUUCACUGUACAUUGACGGGAUACCCUAGUUCGGCCUUCCCGGCCAAUGGAAGCCAGCAGUAUCCUGAAACCCAACGGCAUCGUCAUUCGUUAGGCCGAGAGGACGCGGGAUGGUUAGGGUUGACUUCGUUGAAAAGGCAUAAAGAGGUGAAAAGUGGGCUGAAUGCCGAGAUAUGCCGAACACGGAGUAGGCUAGCCAAGACAUUGGGUCUGGCGUUCCUGGGUAUCCUCAACUGAAAUUUAGUCCAAGCACAGGGGGACAGUAGAUAUCGCCCCUAGUCAGAGAGACGCAUUAUUGACACACUGAAAACGGCUUGGUCCGGGUUGGACUCAAAUUG
rnacentral:sRNA from 2 species